UAGACGAUCCGGUACGUAGUAAAUUUGCUGGUUGGUCCUUUUUAUAGACUUUUGUAAAAAGGACCAACCAGCAAAUUUACUAUGUACCGGAUCGUCUAG
rnacentral:sRNA from 1 species